rnacentral:rRNA from 1 species
AAUGAACGUUGGCGGCCUGGAUUAGGCAUGCAAGUUGAGCGAACCCGCAAGGGGAGCAGCGUAAGGGGCAGUAAGGCAUAGGUACCUACCCGCGGCUCGGGCAUAGCCUGUAGAGAUACAGGGUAAUUCCCGAUGACCUCGAGAGAGCAAAGCUCCGGCGGCCGCGGAGGGGCCUAUGUGAUAUUAGCUAGUUGGUGGGGUAACGGCCCACCAAGGCGAAGAUGUCUAGCGGGUGUGAGAGCACGACCCGCGCCACUGGCACUGAGACACUGGCCAGACACCUACGGGUGGCUGCAGUCGAGGAUCUUCGGCAAUGGGCGCAAGCCUGACCGAGCGAGGCCGCGUGGGCGAUGAAGG